AAACAGUCUCAAAGAUAAUCUGCAUGAGAGAUGUAUUAAUUAGCUCCAAUUGCAAAACGACUACAAAAUAAGAAAGAAAGAAAGAAAGGGGAAUAUCUGAGAGAAAGAAACCACAACGACAAAAGUCAAAUAGCGGAAGAAGAAGAGGAAGGAAUACCCAGAGAGAGAGAGCUAUGGGGCAGUGCGUGUCUUGCUUGGACGAAGAGAAGAAGCAAGAAAUGAAAGAAGAGGAAAGGUUAGCCGCCGCUGAAGUUCGUGCCAGAGCUGCCGAAGCUGCUCAGAAACGGCAAGAACAGUUUGAAAAAUCUGCAGCAGGAAGAGCGGCACGUGCACAGCAACAGGGUAUUGCAAAGCAAGCAUCAAACACUAACAAAGGGGAACCAGUAUUAAUGGUUUUACUUCUUGCACCAAUAUUUCUAAUGUUUUCAUGUUUUAGCUCCGAAGGUUGUAGUAGUUGCCAACUCUGUUCUAUUGCCUUGAUACAAGUAACAAAUUAUGCCUAUGAUAUCUUAACUAUGAUCUUGCAAUUGAUAUAGAACAAAAAAGCUAUGAUUUUGAUAUGCCUAAUAGUACUUGCACUUUUUGUCAAGUUUGAGGAAAGCAGAUGCUCUCUGUUUUAACUAUUCUGUUUGUUUUUGUUGUAAAAUGCAGUGGCAAAUGGGUGGGUCUUAAGUAUUGUUUCUGUACAGUCCAACAAUUGCUUAUUGUAAGCUCGAUGAAGUGGGCAAAGCCAUGACCUGAAUCAGAGUGUAAGGGUCCCAGUGGAUAACACAUUCUUUGCUUGGGAAUUGGGAUGCUACAAGUAUGGAUUAUCCUGGUCUGUUCACGGUGCCCACUCAACUUGUUUUGAUGGUUGCCAAAGGCUGUAGAAUGUGUCCUUGACCGUUGCUGGGAGUUGGAUUUGUUUCAGCUGGUCAUGGGUGAGGAGGGCUCAGUCUCAGAUCCCUUUUUGAUCUCUCAUUUGACAUUAAUGAUUAUUAUAGGUAUAUAAUGGUUUUAGUUAACUGUGAUUUUUGUUAUGUUUUUUAAAGUUUUAUUUUAUAAGUUGACGUGUUGUUCAUAUUUAGUUUAGUAAACUUUUUAUGGUAAAAGAUCAAUUUCAUAUGAGAAAAUUGAAAUAUCAUAUUUUUUUUCUUGGUGAAAUUUGAAACAUCAACUUUUCUCUAUGAAAAUUGAAAACAGUAUGGUGUUAGUAAUCUCUCUUCACUUUAAUGAUCAAUUCUUUGCAUUUUUCUUUUAAUAUUUACUCUGGAAAAAGUACGUGUUAGUAAUCGCUCUCCAGCCUCUCCUCUUCAUUUCCCCAGUUCCGACACGCUCACUUUAUUUUCUAAUCUACUCUCUCUUCUUCAUUUUAUCUCUAAUGUCUCUUUAUUUCUCAAAUUUCUUCCUGUUAUUUCAUUUAUCAUAUUAUUUAAUACCUUACUCAAGAUUCAAAAAUAUUUUGUAAAUGCUAUUCUAAUCUUGCUUAUUUUUUUUUUAAUUUUACUUUUAAAAUUUCAAAAUAAAAAUUACCAAGUAUAUUUUUAUUUUGUAUUAAUUAAACAGAAAGUAAAUUUUUUUACCAAACAAACCCAAUGUGUGUGGUUUAUAUGGCCCGAAAUUCUCCUUGGGUUUGGAAAGUGGGAAUAGUUUCGGAUCCAACCCAAUUUAGCUCUCUCAAAGUUGUUUUGAUUCAAUUGCACAUUCUAACAAUUAUGCCUAUUCCAAUAUUGUGCAAGACGAACUAAAUCCUAGUUGCCAGUAGAGAGAGAAAGGUCUUUUGGCUCUGUUGGCGCUCCGAGCGCACGUCCCAGUACAUUUACUGGCCACUGGCAUGGAGCCAAGUGGGGUAGCUUCGACUUCGAACGCUUUUCACGUUGUAGGUGGUAGUUUUGUUAAUUUUGGUUUGAAAGCAACAAAUCUGCAAUUGUGGAGUUGACUGGUUUUUUCCCUUUUGGUUGUGUGUUGGGUUGUGCCUGCGUGGGUCUACUUGAAGGAGUCUCGUGUGUUUCAUUCCGACGAUUUCAUCUGCUCGGAAUGAUGGUGGCUUUUUGUCGAUGCCAUUUCUAAUUUUUACUAUUGCUGCUAUUUUAGUUAGUUUUGUUGUGUUAUUUAUCUCGUUGCUGGUUUAGUUUAGGGUUUUUGUUUGUAGUUUUUAUUUUGGUUUGUUCACCUUGUGUGGAAUUUUGUAUUAAGAACCCUAUAUGUUUCUUAUUUCCAACUAUCUUGUACAGUUUGGAACUCAUUGACAACUAUAAAUUUGGCAUGUAUGCUGUAUUUAUCCU